AAAGGGGGUCCUCCUGUUCCCACUCGGGCGCUGGUUCUUCUGGAAGCCGCUCAGCGGUACGUGACCCGCGUUUCCGCUCACACCUUUCACAAAGGCCUGGCGGAGGAAGCGAACGCUCUGUGUUUUCGACGAAAGAGAUGAACUGAAUUCCAAACACCUCUCACCAAGGACACCCCUCAGAAGAGCGAAGGCAAGAAAGAAAUGCGGCGAAUCUAGGGAUUCCAUUGCCAUUUCAUUGAUGGUCGUCUUGUUGCCGGAGGGCUUCUGGCAAAGUACUGACGCCUACUUUAAAGAAAUCCGGAUUCAACACCAACGGAGAAGGGGCAGAAGACAGAGGAGGCCACACAGGAGGCGGGGAGACCAGGUUUAGCUGUAAAAAGCCAAACGUCAACGUCGCAUGUUUGUCUCUCUCGUAUAGGUCACAAUGCGUCCUAGGAUGACUCGUUUUUAGUGCAAAACAAUGUCCGCUUUCAACGUGCAGUCUUUGAGAGGGUGUGAAGAGGACUCUCAAGUCUCUCACAGACGCCGGCUGACAAACGGGGGUUCUCGCGGCAGAAGCUGGGGUGACCCACGCACCACGCCGACGACGUGAGCUUUCGGAGUCCCAGCGCGGGACGCAGACACGUCCCGCAAGUUGCUCGCUCAGCUGAAGCGACACCUGCAGACGCUGCCUGGAAUACGCCUGUUCAUUUGCAGCUUGGUGGAAACAGGUUCAAGAGAAUAAAAACGAAAUCGAGAGUGUGGAGACAGCGAGCCCCGAAUCCCGCUGCCUCAGAACACGGCACGAGCCCCUUGGGCGGUGCUGCCACCCCCGCCGAGCGGGCUCACGGGGACGUCAGGCGGCCCGCAGGGGUGCUUCCGUCUGUGAACGGAUUCCCGCGCAGGGAGCCAGAGGCAACGUGCACGCGCGUGGGGUGAAAUGCACGCGGGUUAUCUUACCUCUCACUUCCCACCCGACUCAUCGGCUGCCACCCUGGGACCACACCCGGACUACAGCAAGAGCAGUGUUGGGAACUGCCAGUUAUGCAACCGGCCCACCGGCAGGAAAGAUGCUGCUUCUAACAACAAAUGUCCUGUCCCGACGCAGCCCAGGACUAACUUUUCCAUGGACCCAGACAUUUUACACCCAGAAGAAGGGAACAUUCACAGUUGCAGAACUGUGAGUACUUGCAGUUAAAUAAAGGUAACACUGCCCAA